CUGCACUUAACUCCAAUUCCUACUCAUGUCUUCUCUGUGCUUAUAUCACUUUUAUUAAUUGAAAAAAAAAAUUUCUUGCCAUAAUAGCCAACAGCAGCCUUCCUGGUAGUGUACCCAGUCUGUUGCCUGCAAAGUUUGCCCAAGAACCCUUGGAGACUGCC
ensembl:snoRNA SNORA70 Small nucleolar RNA SNORA70